rnacentral:rRNA from 1 species
UACGAAGGGGGCUAGCGUUGCUCGGAAUCACUGGGCGUAAAGCGCACGUAGGCGGCUUACUAAGUCAGGGGUGAAAUCCUGGAGCUCAACUCCAGAACUGCCUUUGAUACUGAAGAUCUUGAGUUCGGGAGAGGUGAGUGGAACUGCGAGUGUAGAGGUGAAAUUCGUAGAUAUUCGCAAGAACACCAGUGGCGAAGGCGGCUCACUGGACCGGAACUGACGCUGAGGCGCGAAAGCGUGGGGAGCAAACAGG